rnacentral:tRNA from 1 species
GCCUUUAUGGUGUAGCGGUCAGCACGCUGGGCUUGUAUACCAGAGGUCUGUGUUUCGAAUCCCGGCGAGGGCA